UACGAAGGGGGCUAGCGUUGCUCGGAAUCACUGGGCGUAAAGCGCACGUAGGCGGCUUCUUAAGUCAGGGGUGAAAUCCUGGAGCUCAACUCCAGACGUCGUGCCUUUGAUACUGAGGAGCUUGAGUCCGGGAGAGGUGAGUGGAACUGCGAGUGUAGAGGUGAAAUUCGUAGAUAUUCGCAAGAACACCAGUGGCGAAGGCGGCUCACUGGCCCGGUACUGACGCUGAGGUGCGAAAGCGUGGGGAGCAAACAGG
rnacentral:rRNA from 1 species